rnacentral:rRNA from 1 species
GGGAGUGGCAGACGGGUGAGUAACGCGUGGGAACAUACCCUUUCCUGCGGAAUAGCUCCGGGAAACUGGAAUUAAUACCGCAUACGCCCUACGGGGGAAAGAUUUAUCGGGGAAGGAUUGGCCCGCGUUGGAUUAGCUAGUUGGUGGGGUAAAGGCCUACCAAGGCGACGAUCCAUAGCUGGUCUGAGAGGAUGAUCAGCCACAUUGGGACUGAGACACGGCCCAAACUCCUACGGGAGGCAGCAGUGGGGAAUAUUGGACAAUGGGCGCAAGCCUGAUCCAGCCAUGCCGCGUGAGUGAUGAAGGCCUUAGGGUUGUAAAGCUCUUUCACCGGAGAAGAUAAUGACGGUAUCCGGAGAAAAAGCCCCGGCUAACUUCGUGCCAGCAGCCGCGGUAAUACGAAGGGGGCUAGCGUUGUUCGGAAUUACUGGGCGUAAAGCGCACGUAGGCGGAUAUUUAAGUCAGGGGUGAAAUCCCAGAGCUCAACUCUGGAACUGCCUUUGAUACUGGGUAUCUUGAGUAUGGAAGAGGUAAGUGGAAUUCCGAGUGUAGAGGUGAAAAUUCGUAGAUAUUCGGAGGAACACCAGUGGCGAAGGCGGCUUACUGGUCCAUUACUGACGCUGAGGUGCGAAAGCGUGGGGGAGCAAACA